rnacentral:tRNA from 1 species
AUAUGUUUGCAGCUGCGGAUUACAGCAUUGUUUCUUUAAGAAAUAUCGAACUUUUCAAAGGUGCGAGACCUUCUAAAAUAUU